rnacentral:rRNA from 1 species
CUUAGGAUGGAUCUGCGGCCGAUUAGGUAGUUGUUGGGGUAACGGCCCAACAAGCCUGUAAUCGGUACGAGUUGUGGGAGCAAGAGCCCGGAGAUGGAAACUGAGACACGAUUCCAGGCCCUACGGGGCGCAGCAGGCGCGAAAACUUUACAAUGCAGGAAACUGUGAUAAGGGAACCCCGAGUGCUCGUACACGCGAGCUGUCCAGGUGUGCAAAAAGCAUCUGAAGAAAGGGCCGGGCAAGACCGGUGCCAGCCGCCGC